UGGGGAAUUUUGGACAAUGGGCGAAAGCCUGAUCCAGCAAUGCCGCGUGUGUGAAGAAGGCCUUCGGGUUGUAAAGCACUUUUGUCCGGAAAGAAAUCCUUGGCUCUAAUACAGUCGGGGGAUGACGGUACCGGAAGAAUAAGCACCGGCUAACUACGUGCCAGCAGCCGCGGUAAUACGUAGGGUGCAAGCGUUAAUCGGAAUUACUGGGCGUAAAGCGUGCGCAGGCGGUUUGCUAAGACCGAUGUGAAAUCCCCGGGCUCAACCUGGGAACUGCAUUGGUGACUGGCAGGCUAGAGUAUGGCAGAGGGGGGUUAGAAUUCCACGUGUAGCAGUGAAAUGCGUAGAGAUGUGGAGGAAUACCGAUGGCGAAGGCAGCCCCCUGGGCCAAUACUGACGCUCAUGCACGAAAGCGUGGGGAGCAAACAGGAUUAGAUACCCUGGUAGUCCACGCCCUAAACGAUGUCAACUAGUUGUUGGGGAUUCAUUUCCUUAGUAACGUAGCUAACGCGUGAAGUUGACCGCCUGGGGAGUACGGUCGCAAGAUUAAAACUC
rnacentral:rRNA from 1 species